AUCGGGCUGACGAGUCCCAAGCUGGACGAAACGCGCAUCCUGGAU
rnacentral:hammerhead_ribozyme from 1 species